ACAGAUCGUCAGUAGGCUUCUGCCACAGUGCCGUUCCUCGUACCCCCCCCACAGCUGAGGGUUUGAGCCUCCUCAGCUCCUUUCACAGCAGUGCGUGGACCCUCUUGGAUCACUGACCCAGGGUCCGCCCACCAUGAGUGCCUACUGUCAGGAUCCCUCUGCUGCCUCUGGGUCCUCCGUCUCUGUAUUACACAACAUCUGACCCCUGAUCUGUGACACUGUUUGCCCAAAACACUCGGCCAACAAUCUUUCUAGAGGACCUUGCCCAGCUUAAAAAAACCAUCCCACGAUGCGUCUUUUGGGAGUGCCUGGCUCACAUUGUUUUUAUGAAGCAGAAAUGAUCCUUGCUACUGCCAGUAAUGAACAUACUGACUUUUGCUAGAACUGCUGUUCCUUUCUUUCCACAAUCAAUUCCUCUAUAAUUUCUCGCCUGCAGUGUUUACUGUGUGUGUCAUCAUAUCUGUGUAUAAAACACUAUGGCACCAUACAAAUAUGUUCACCCUUGUUUGCAUUUGAUAACGCAUGCGCAGCUAGAGGUUCUCCCUUCGAUGCUUCAGAAGGUUCUGCUGAUAUAUGUAAAGCGCUAUUCUGCAUUUUCAAGUUUUUCCCCCCAUUUCAUUCAUGUAUAAUUCCUACACAAGUCUGCAAGGAAAAAACCCAUAAGGAUAAGCACAAACUAAAGCAAAGCAUUCCUAAAAUGUGUUGUGUGUGACUGUUAACAUCAUAUCAAAAGCUGAAAAAAGCUGAGAGUGUGUCAGUGUUCAACAUGCCCUUUUUGUGUCGUUGACAAUGCUUGGAUGUAACGUGAGACUUUAAGUCACAAAGAAAAGGGACAUUUGAUUGUUUUUUUCCCUCUGAUUUCACAAGACUGAAAAUGCACAUGUGAAGAAGACAUGCAUCAGCAUUAAUAAGCAAUAUUGUUGUAAUGUGUUUGUUUUUCUGACAUUUUCCCUAUAGCCUGCCUUUGAAAUCAGAAAUAAACCACUCAUACACA